ACGGAAUUUCCAUGCACCUUUCCAAGUCCAUGGAUGGGCCAAACAUUCUCAAUUACUAUUUUGGGACUUAAUAUUGGUAAUUGGAAGUUUAACACUGAUUGCCAAACAAGCGUUUUUACCACGAACCAGGGACUGUCUACAACAUCAGAAACAUUGCUUUGUCAUCAAAUAACAGAACGCUUCCUUAUUGUCCGGGUACAGGGUUCUGACAACUUCGUAUGUUUUCCGAUCUUUUCCAAUCUUGCAAAUCCUUUGAAGUUUACAUUUGGAUCACGAGCUUCCACAACGUUUGCAAACCAAACAGGAGAGUUUACAGAUAUAUGUGAAAUUUGUAAACAACCAGCUGCAACUGCGGUAG